CAAUGGUCUUCCCAUUGAAUCUCUGUGAUAUUUAAGUUGUUUAUAUGUUCUUUAACGGUGUUUUAGUGGAAAACCCUAUUUUGGCAGCCAUCUUGGACGCCAUCUUGGCUAACUGGCUUGAGGACAGUUUUUAUUUUGGGAACGUCCCAAUGGGGUCAUCUGAGGAACCUAAAACAGUUGGUUGGUUUAGUCCUGGGGGGGUGCAAAGGUAGUGGUCGUAGCUCCCUAGUAGAUAACAGAACGCUAUAAAAACACAACUUUCCAUUCAUCAAAAACAUUCAUCAUGAGGAAAAAAAAAACAAAACAGCUCAAUGUUUUUCGGGUGUUUUGAAACAGUGAAAGGUGCACUGUACCAGGUGAACUUGACAAGACUUUGUCCCCACGCUUGGGGGUCUCUGGAUCACUCGCCUUGUCCUCAUCUGUCCCCAGCAGUAGUUUGAUGUGGACACUUUGGCUUACGAUAAAUUCAGCAGGCCGUCUGUGUUGGAUCUGGGGGGUCAUUAAAGUUCGGUUCGAGCCUCAUAGUCCUGUCCAAACCCAACAGGCGUUUUAAUGUUUUCUGUCAAAACCUGUUAUUUCCGUCCGAAACAAAUUCCUGCAGACAGGAAUGAAGUGAUUGGAUCUUGUAUUUUCUUCUUUUUUUUUUAUUUUUUUAUUAAUAAAAGCGGGCGUUUGCCUCAUGUGAGGCAAACUUGCGCACACAGAGUAAAUAAAAUCUUUAAUCUGACCUGUUAUUGCCUCAUUUCGUCUGGAUCCAUCAUCGCAGACACACUGGUGUCCAAAUAAGGCGUCGUUGUUUUGGAAAUAUUUUAAUUCCUUAUUAUUGGAGAACCGCUGUCUGGACGCUACUUGUGCAUGUGCGUUCAAGAAUGUAACAACACUCUAUUGUAAUACUGAGACUUGACACAUUAAUUACUUUUCCUUGGCUGCCAUUCUUACAACAUUGUUACUGUAUUUUCUGGCAAAUAAGUCGGGCCUGUUGGGGAAAAGGAAAAAAAAGCCUCUUGAAUCGUACAUUUUUCUGUAUAUUCAGCUCUUUGAUUUUUUUUUGUUUGUUUGUUUUGUUUUUUUACAUUGUUCCAGUGUAUUUUUUGUUGUUGUCACUUAUUCUCUUAUUAUUGCAGUUUGCCUUUUUUGGCAAUUGAUUCGUUGGGAAGUUCUUAAAAAAGGUGAAUUAUAUUUUAUUAUUAACAAAGGUGUGUGUGUGUGUGUGUCGCACUGGAAUAUAAGUCACAGGACCUAAAUUAGUUAAAGUAAUUAAAUUAGUAACAAAAAUAGAAAAAUGUGACUUUUAUACUGAAAAACCAUGCAUUGUCAUUCAUAAUUAUAAUAGCUAUUUAUAUGUGGCUUCCCGAGGAAUCAAAGCACUAAAUAAAAUAAACUCCAAUAAGAAAUAAUAAAUGCCAAAAAGAAGUACACUACAACAAUGCACAAAAAAUUAAAAAUUAAAGAGCGAUUAAUACAGAAAAAGGUGCGACUUAUCGACUUAUACUCUGGAAAAUCCAGUAAAUACAGUACUGGAUUCUUAAAAUAUUAGAGAAUUCAACAUUUAAAAAUCAUUCAUCUAAAACAGCACAUAGGAGCCCUGAUGACAGUGAUAUUUCAUUUGUUGCUUUGCUGUCUGUCGGUUUGUUUCUGUGAAUGCGUGUUUCUGUUUCCCUGGUUUCAUGCUGCCUUCAAUUAAAAAAAAAAAGGUCAGACAUUGCAAUCAUAAAUUCACUUGCUGGAUAUUACAUUUGUUUCCGAGCUUAAAAAAAAAAGCUGAAGAAAUGGUGCCAACUGAGGGAAAGCUUGGCUAAAAUAUAAUUCUAAUUCACAGUGUAACCACCAGGGGGCAGAAUAACAGAUUUGCUUUUGUUUUGCUGUAGUUAUGACUUUUCCUUUUUACUGCUGCUGUAGUUACACUAUCCCUGAGUCCAUUGAAUUUUUUCUUCUUUUUUUUUUUAUUGUUACUAUUUUGGAAGAUGCUCACAAGCAACAAUCAAGUAUUUAAGAGCUAAUAUGCGGUUUGCGGCCAGUUGCACAAUCCUUCCAACAGUAAAUGGUUUUCUUCAUAUUUAAUUUUCUUCCCGUGUACGUUGUGUUGGGUUAACUCACCCUCGAUGAUAUCAGAGUAUGAAUCACAAGUUGGCGAUGGAUGUGAUUGGUGUUCAAAAUGGAGACGGCUAUCAUGUUAGCUCACUGUACCAUAAUCUACACUUUAUUUUAAAAAAAACCCCAAAAAAACAAAGAACUUCUUGUGAGAAAACGGUUGCAGAAAUGGAUAAAUAGAAUUGGUGACAUUGAACGACAAUCUGUGUAGCAUCUGAGCUAUCUUGCUAGCCUAACAUUUUUACUGCUGUUGUUUCCCCCAACCAGCUAGCAUGGCAACCUAGCCAGAAAUGCGUAUCUUAGCAAGAAAAUUUUUUGUGUUCCGUGGGCAACAUUAUAUAGCUUCUCCAUGAUUUUCCAAAAUAAUGCGGGAUAUUUGUCUGUGGUAUUUAUCUGUACUGACAAUGCCAUAGUCGUGCAAAGCUUCCAGUCAUGACCAUUUCGUGAGAGAAUCCGCUUUUCCAACCCCAAGCACGGUAACAAGCUGUGCAAGACGAAACAGGUGCCCAAGUUACGCAAUCUUGAGCUGAAGUCCUCUGAUUUGUCGGCUGAUGUUUGCUGCUGCCUUAAAUCCCAGUCGUCCUCCAGUCUUUGAUUCGAUUUCACAAUAACGCCUGUGAAUCCAACAUUUGUUCCCACUUAGCAUUUGGGAACUGGAAUGUAUCGAGUCAUGCCUUCCUUUUUGUGGCGACUAUAGGAGUCAUGUCCCGUGAUCAGAUCGCUGAGGAAUUUUUGGACUUUAAUUAUAAUGAUGCAUCAGUGCUACUGAAGACCACCGAGUGCUCUGCCACCAAAAAAAAAAAAAUGUUUUUUAAGAGCCUCUGAGCUGGUGGGGGGGGGUGGUGGCACGUCACAGAAUUGGCCCUUUUUUUUUUUUUUUACGAUCCACCACCCCAUUUUUAUGAAAGCUGCGGUCAAAGUCAUCGAACUUUCACUUCCAUCCAGAAAAACGCUGAGUGUUGCAAAGGUGAUGCGGAUUACAUGUCGUCAUGGUAACUAGUGUCACCAUGCCAGUACUGUUGAUGAUGAUGAUGAUGAUGAACUUUGUUUUCCGCUGUGUUGAAACCGUGCACGCAGACAAGCACUUACAAUACACACACACACACACGUGUAAAUACAACGUGGUGCCACCACACUAGGUUUCUGUGUUCCACUUGUUGCACGUGUUCUGAUCCGGAUUCAUAAAUUUAAGUAAAACUUUACUGCAAUAUUUUAUUUUCUUGUUUCCCAGCCUGAUCUGUGUGAAUUCUUUAGGUGUUUUUGUUGUUGUUGUUGUUUUUUAAUUUGUUUCCUUGUGGAAUUAAAUUAUGAUCUGAAAAC